AAUAUUGCGCAAUGGGGGCAACCCUGACGCAGCAACGCCGCGUGAUUGAAGAAGGCCUUCGGGUUGUAAAGAUCUUUAAUCAGGGACGAAAAUUGACGGUACCUGAAGAAUAAGCUCCGGCUAACUACGUGCCAGCAGCCGCGGUAAUACGUAGGGAGCAAGCGUUAUCCGGAUUUACUGGGUGUAAAGGGCGCGCAGGCGGGCCGGCAAGUUGGGAGUGAAAUCCCGGGGCUUAACCCCGGAACUGCUUUCAAAACUGCUGGUCUUGAGUGAUGGAGAGGCAGGCGGAAUUCCGUGUGUAGCGGUGAAAUGCGUAGAUAUACGGAGGAACACCAGUGGCGAAGGCGGCCUGCUGGACAUUAACUGACGCUGAGGCGCGAAAGCGUGGGGAGCAAACA
rnacentral:rRNA from 1 species